rnacentral:tRNA from 2 species
GGAUCGGUGGCUGAGUGGUCGAAAGCACACCUUUGCUAAAGGUGCGUACCUCACAAGGGUACCGAGGGUUCGAAUCCCUCCCGGUCCGCCA